rnacentral:rRNA from 1 species
UACGGGGGGGGUAAGCGUUGUUCGGAAUUACUGGGCGUAAAGGGCUCGUAGGCGGCCAACUAAGUCAGACGUGAAAUCCCUCAGCUUAACUGGGGAACUGCGUCUGAUACUGGAUGGCUUGGAUUCGGGAGAGGAAUGCGGAAUUCCAGGUGUAGCGGUGAAAUGCGUAGAUAUCUGGAGGAACACCGGUGGCGAAGGCGGCAUUCUGGACCAACACUGACGCUGAGGAGCGAAAGCCAGGGGAGCAAACGGG